UACGAAGGGGGCUAGCGUUGUUCGGAUUUACUGGGCGUAAAGCGCACGUAGGCGGAUUGUUAAGUGAGAGGUGAAAUCCCGGAGCUCAACUCCGGAACUGCCUUUCAUACUGGCAAUCUAGAGUCCGGAAGAGGUGAGUGGAACUCCUAGUGUAGAGGUGGAAUUCGUAGAUAUUAGGAAGAACACCAGUGGCGAAGGCGGCUCACUGGUCCGGUACUGACGCUGAGGUGCGAAAGCGUGGGGAG
rnacentral:rRNA from 1 species